rnacentral:rRNA from 1 species
AUUGAACGCUGGCGGCAGGCCUAACACAUGCAAGUCGAGCGAGCGGCGGACGGGUGAGUAAUGUCUGGGAACCUGCCUGAUGGAGGGGGAUAACUACUGGAAACGGUAGCUAAUACCGCAUACCAUCAGAUGUGCCCAGUGUGGAUUAGCUAGUAGGUGGGUGAACGGCUCACCUAGGCGACGAUCCCUAGCUGGUCGGAGAGGAUGACCAGCCACACUGGAACUGAGACACGGCCCAGACUCCUACGGGAGGCAGCAGUAGGGAAUCUUCGGCAAUGGACGAAAGUCUGAUCCAGCAACGCCGCGUGAGUGAAGAAGGUUUUCGGAUUGUAAAGCUCUGUUGGUAGGGAAGCGGUAUCUACCCAGAAAGCCACGGCUAACUACGUGCCAGCAGCCGCGGUAAUUC